rnacentral:rRNA from 1 species
UUUACAACUCCCAAACCCAAUGUGAACGUUACCAAACUGUUGCCUCGGCGGGAUCUCUGCCCCGGGUGCGUCGCAGCCCCGGACCAAGGCGCCCGCCGGAGGACCAACCAAAACUCUUUUUGUAUACCCCCUCGCGGGUUUUUUAUAAUCUGAGCCUUCUCGGCGCCUCUCGUAGGCGUUUCGAAAAUGAAUCAAAACUUUCAACAACGGAUCUCUUGGUUCUGGCAUCGAUGAAGAACGCAGCGAAAUGCGAUAAGUAAUGUGAAUUGCAGAAUUCAGUGAAUCAUCGAAUCUUUGAACGCACAUUGCGCCCGCCAGUAUUCUGGCGGGCAUGCCUGUCCGAGCGUCAUUUCAACCCUCGAACCCCUCCGGGGGGUCGGCGUUGGGGAUCGGCCCUCCCUUAGCGGGUGGCCGUCUCCGAAAUACAGUGGCGGUCUCGCCGCAGCCUCUCCUGCGCAGUAGUUUGCACACUCGCAUCGGGAGCGCGGCGCGUCCACAGCCGUUAAACACCCAACUUCUGAAAUGUUGACCUCGGAUCAGGUAGGAAUACCCGCUGAACUUAAGCAUAUCAAUAAGCGGAGGAAAAAACCCCACCCA